AUUGAACGCUGGCGGAAUGCUUUGCACAUGCAAGUCGAACGGCAGCACGGACUUCGGUCUGGUGGCGAGUGGCGAACGGGUGAGUAAUGUAUCGGAACGUGCCCAGUCGUGGGGGAUAACGUAGUGAAAAUUACGCUAAUACCGCAUACGAUCUAUGGAUGAAAGCGGGGGAUCGCAAGACCUCGCGCGAUUGGAGCGGCCGAUAUCAGAUUAGGUAGUUGGUGGGGUAAAGGCCCACCAAGCCAACGAUCUGUAGCUGGUCUGAGAGGACGAGCAGCCACACUGGAACUGCUACACCGUCCAGCCUCCUGCGGGAGGCAGCAGUGGGGAAUUUUGGACAAUGGGCGAAAGCCUGAUCCAGCCAUUCCGCGGGCAGGAUGAAGGCCCUCGGGUUGUAAACUGCUUUUGUACAGAACGAAAAGGUUUCUACUAAUACCAGGAGCUCAUGACGGUACUGUAAGAAUAAGCACCGGCUAACUACGUGCCAGCCGCCGCGGUAA
rnacentral:rRNA from 1 species